AUAUGUGAACCCAAGCAAAUAAAUGAAAAUCAGUAACAGCAGCAAUGGCAGAAACAACCAAGCAAGACGAUUAUCAUAACACCUGCGGUGCUUGCUUAAUUGCCUAUGCGAGAUGGGUACUAUUAGUAUCACCUGUGUACGGAUGCAGAAUCUAUGGCACCUGAGAGAUUGAAUAACCUUGGGAUCAUGCAGGUUGCAAAGGGUGAUGCUGGGAUUCAGAUCCAAAUACUUACCCAUUCUCCAAAGAAAGCAACCAGAAACAAUUGUAUAAUUUGAAGAUACAAACUUGAGGCAACCUAUGAAGACAAAGGCUGGGACAGGCACAUAGCAGGCAAUAUCACAAGCUUGAUUGAGUAAAAAUUGGGAGUUCUUCAUUUCCACAGAAGUAUAUGUGUUGCCUUUUAAGCAAAGUGGUAGUGUUACCAGAAAGAGGUCCUGAUCCUGACCCCUUUCCACUUCUUGGAUCUCACUUUUGGACGAAUCCAUAAGGCAGUUGGACAUAUGCUGGGAAAGAAACUUCAACUAUGGAUGUGAGUUGGAGAAUCUUUGACAUAGAAAAUGUACGCUAUUAGAUGAGAGAAUGUGAUUUCUCCAAGCAAGUGAAUACGCAGAAAGAAAAGCAGAAAAGAUGGGGCCGAACUUUAUGCUCUAUGUGACUCAUUUUCAUCUAGCAGUACCUCUCCAAAACCUGAAUCUCCACGAGAAAGCUAUACAGCAAUUAACAAGUAUUGCAAGGAUUGCUUUUGCAAUAAAGAAUGGCUGUAAUGUUGGCAGUAAAUAUGAAACCUUCUUUUACACACCAAUAUUUUCAAGAAUGGCAUAUUCACAUUCAGUGUGUGGCAAGUUGCAUCAUUUUUCUUUGAACUGGCCUGAUAAUUUUCAAGCUAACAAACCUGUUCUUCCGUGAAAAUAUGUGGUACCUUUUAAGUGAAUUCCAGCGAUCUCUGAACAUGCCACAUAGGUG
rnacentral:lncRNA from 13 species